CUGAAAAUGCAGACAUAUCAAAUAACAUACAUUUUAAAGAUACUAUUUGGGAGCUUGCACUGUUUCUUAAGAAAGUGUGGAUUUAAAGCACACGUGCUUGGUUAAGCUGUCUAAUUUAAAAUGAAGAACUUCCUGAAGUCUGGACUUUUGCUUCAGAAAGGCUGAGGAUUUGGAAUGUACAUUUCUGUACCCCAGAGUGAAAACAUGCUAGUGGAGCUGAUAUCUGUUUAUAUUCUGUGCAGGAAUUUAUUGUGUUUAUAAUAACCAGGUGGACAUGUAUGUUUUCAGUGACUACUUGGAUGAAAUAAAGAAUGAAGUGUUA